rnacentral:sRNA from 12 species
UGAGUUGGUGGCUAGGGUUCCGGCGUUUUUCUGAAGCGCGACUGGUCCGAGAGCCACCACCGGCGGAGGAGAAAACCCGUCGGGUGCACGGCGGGACAAAAGCCCGGGAGAC